AAUGAACGCUGGCGGCGUGCUUUACACAUGCAAGUCGAGCGAGGCCGGGUAGCAAUACCCGAGUCGAGCGGCGCACGGGUGAGUAACGCGUGGAUGACCUGCCUGAGGGUGGGGGAUAACCCGGGGAAACUCGGGCUAAUACCGCAUAAAACCGAGAGGUCAAAGGGGGCCGCAAGGCUCUCGCCUGCAGAGGGGUCCGCGUCCGAUUAGCUAGUUGGCAGGGUAAUGGCCUACCAAGGCGACGAUCGGUAGCCGGCCUGAGAGGGUGAUCGGCCACACUGGAACUGAGACACGGUCCAGACUCCUACGGGAGGCAGCAGUAGGGAAUCUUCCGCAAUGGACGAAAGUCUGACGGAGCAACGCCGCGUGAGUGAAGAAGGUUUUCGGAUCGUAAAACUCUGUUGUCAGAGAAGAACAAGUCGGAGAGUAACUGCUCCGGCCUUGACGGUAUCUGACCAGAAAGCCACGGCUAACUACGUGCCAGCCGCCGCAGUAACAC
rnacentral:rRNA from 1 species